UCCGAAUUAGCUCAGUUGGUAGAGCAGUGGUUUUGUAAUCCAAAGGUCAUCCGUUCGAGUCGGAUAUUCGGAA
rnacentral:tRNA from 1 species